rnacentral:rRNA from 1 species
UACGUAGGGUGCAAGCGUUAAUCGGAAUUACUGGGCGUAAAGCGUGUGUAGGCGGAUCGUUAAGUGUCUUGUGAAAUCCCACGGCUCACCCGUGGAACUGCUGGGCAUACUGGCGAUCUUGGGCCAACUAGGGGCAGUCGGAACAAGCGGUGGAGCGGUGAAAUGCGUAGAUAUCGCUUGGAACGCCGAAGGUGAAAACAGACUGCUGGGGUUGCGCCGACGCUGAGACACGAAAGCCAGGGGAGCAAACGGG